GGUGACAAUGGCAAGGAGGUCACACCUGUUCCCAUGCCGAACACAGAAGUUAAGCUCCUUAGCGCCGAUGGUAGUCGGACUAACGUUCCGCUAGAGUAGGACGUUGCCAGGC
rnacentral:rRNA from 3 species